rnacentral:rRNA from 1 species
UAUAAGACUGGGAUAACUUCGGGAAACCGGAGCUAAUGCCGGAUAACAUUUGGAACCGCAUGGUUCUAAAGUAAAAGAUGGUUUUGCUACCACUUAUAGAUGGACCCGCGCCGUAUUAGCUAGUUGGUAAGGUAACGGCUUACCAAGGCAACGAUACGUAGCCGACCUGAGAGGGUGAUCGGCCACACUGGAACUGAGACACGGUCCAGACUCCUACGGGAGGCAGCAGUAGGGAAUCUUCCGCAAUGGACGAAAGUCUGACGGAGCAACGCCGCGUGAGUGAUGAAGGUUUUCGGAUCGUAAAACUCUGUUAUUAGGGAAGAACAAAUGUGUAAGUAACUGUGCACAUCUUGACGGUACCUAAUCAGAAAGCCACGGCUAACUACGUGCCAGCAGCCGCGGUAAUACGUAGGUGGCAAGCGUUAUCCGGAAUUAUUGGGCGUAAAGCGCGCGUAGGCGGUUUCUUAAGUCUGAUGUGAAAGCCCACGGCUCAACCGUGGAGGGUCAUUGGAAACUGGGAAACUUGAGUACAGAAGAGGAAAGUGGAAUUCCAUGUGUAGCGGUGAAAUGCGCAGAGAUAUGGAGGAACACCAGUGGCGAAGGCGACUUUCUGGUCUGUAACUGACGCUGAUGUGCGAAAGCGUGGGGAUCAAACAGGAUUAGAUACCCUGGUAGUCCACGCCGUAAACGAUGAGUGCUAAGUGUUAGGGGGUUUCCGCCCCUUAGUGCUGCAGCUAACGCAUUAAGCACUCCGCCUGGGGAGUACGACCGCAAGGUUGAAACUCAAAG